rnacentral:rRNA from 1 species
CACCGCGGUUAUACGAGAGACCCAAGUCGAUGGCCUUCGGCGUAAAGAGUGGUUAAGAUACAAUCCAAACUAAAGCCAAACAACUUCAAAGCUGUUAUACGCACAUGAAGACAUGAAGCCCAACCACGAAAGUGGCUUUAAGUUUCUGACCCCACGAAAGCUAUGGUA